rnacentral:rRNA from 1 species
GAUGAACGCUAGCGGCAGGCCUAAUACAUGCAAGCCGAACGGCAAGUUGAGUAGCAAUACUUGACCUAGAGUGGCGUAAGGGUGCGUAACACGUAUGCAAUCUGCCCUCAACAGGAGGAUAGCUCCCGAAAGGGGAAUUAACCCUCCAUGGGAUCUUAGAGUGGCAUCACUUAGAGAUUAAACCGCAAGGGGUUGAGGAUGAGCAUGCGCAUGA